GGGAUAGCCCAGGGAAACCUGGAUUAAUACCGGAUGAGACGGGACCCGCGAUGGCGGGAUCCGGGAAAGGCGCUGCGGCGCCGCCGGGGGAUGAGUCUGCGUCCCAUUAGCUAGACGGCGGGGUAACGGCCCACCGUGGCGACGAUGGGUAGCCGGCCUGAGAGGGUGGACGGCCACAUUGGAACUGAGACACGGUCCAGACUCCUACGGGAGGCAGCAGGCUAAGAAUCUUCCGGCAAUGGGCGAAAGCCUGACGGAGCGACGCCCGCGUGAACGAAGAAGGCCGUGAGGUUGUAAAGUCUUUUCGGGAGGGGGAACAACCGUGGCAGGGAAUGGCCGCGGGAUGACGUGAAUCCCGGAAUAAGCCCCGGCUAACUACGUGCCAGCAGCCGC
rnacentral:rRNA from 1 species